rnacentral:rRNA from 1 species
UUCCGGUUGAUCCUGCCGGAGGCCACUGCUAUCGGAGUUCGAUUAAGCCAUGCGAGUCGAGAGGUGCAAGACCUCGGCAUACUGCUCAGUAACACGUGGACAACCUACCCUAUGGAGGGGGAUAACCCCCGGGAAACUGGGGAUAAUACCCCAUAGACUAUGGAUGCUGGAAUGCUCUGUAGCCAAAAGGUCAGCCGCCAUAGGAUGGGUCUGCGGCCGAUUAGGUAGUUGUUGGGGUAACGGCCCAACAAGCCUGUAAUCGGUACGGGUUGUGGGAGCAAGAGCCCGGAGAUGGAUUCUGAGACACGAAUCCAGGCCUACGGGGCGCAGCAGGCGCGAAAACUUUACAAUGCGGGAAACCGUGAUAAGGGAACUCCGAGUGCCCGUUAAAUCGGGCUGUCCAUCUGUGUAAAUAACAGGUGAAGAAAGGGCCGGGCAAGACCGGUGCCAGCCGCCGCGGUAAUACCGGCGGCUCGAGUGGUGGCCACUAUUACUGGGCUUAAAGCGUUCGUAGCUGGUUUGUUAAGUCUCUGGGGAAAUCUUCCGGCUUAACCGGAAGGCGUCUCAGGGAUACUGGCAGACUAGGGACCGGAAGAGGUGAGGGGUACUCCAGGGGUAGGAGUGAAAUCCUGUAAUCCUUGGGGGACCACCUGUGGCGAAGGCGCCUCACCAGAACGGCUCCGACAGUGAGGGACGAAAGCUGGGGGAGCAAACCGGAUUAGAUACCCGGGUAGUCCCAGCCGUAAACGAUGUGCGUUAGGUGUAUCGGUGACCACGAGUCACCGAGGUGCCGAAGAGAAAUCGUGAAACGUACCGCCUGGGAAGUACGGUCGCAAGGCUGAAACUUAAAGGAAUUGGCGGG